AACGAACGCUGGCGGCGUGCCUAACACAUGCAAGUCAAACGCAUCUUGGGGCAACUCAAGGUGAGUGGCGAACGGGUGAGUAACACGUAGGUAACCUACCUAUGAGACUGGAACAACCUGUCGAAAGACGGGCUAAUACCGGAUAAGACCACGUUCUCUUCGGAGGAUGAGGUAAAAGAUGGCCUCCACUUGUAAGCUAUCACUGAUAGAUGGGCCUGCGUAGCAUUAGCUAGUUGGUAGGGUAAUGGCCUACCAGGGCUACGAUGCUUAGCUGAUCUGAGAGGAUGAUCAGCCACACUGGAACUGAACCACGGUCCAGACUUCUACGGAAGGCAGCAGUGGGGAAUCUUGCGCAAUGGGGGAAACCCUGACGCAGCAACGCCGCGUGGGUGAAGAAGGCCUUCGGGUCGUAAAGCCCUGUCGAAAGGAACGAAACGUAUUGUGUGAACAAUGCCAGUACUUGACGGUACCUUUAAAGGAAGCACCGGCUAACCACGUGCCAGCCGCCGCCGUAA
rnacentral:rRNA from 1 species